rnacentral:misc_RNA from 1 species
GAUGAAGAACGUAGCGAAAUGCGAUAAGUAAUGUGAAUUGCAGAAUCCAGUGAAUCAUCGAAUCUUUGAACGCACAUUGCGCCCGCCAGCAUUCUGGCGGGCAUGCCUGUUCGAGCGUCAUUUCAACCCUCGACCUCCCUUUGGGGAAGUCGGCGUUGGGGACCGGCAGCACACCGCCGGCCCUGAAAUGGAGUGGCGGCCCGUCCGCGGCGACCUCUGCGUAGUAAUCCAACUCGCACCGGAACCCCGACGCGGCCACGCCGUAAAACACCCAACUUCUGAACGUUGACCUCGAAUCAGGUAGGACUACCCGCUGAACUUAAGCAUAUCAUAAGCGGAGGA